CCUCUCUGCGCCCCUCUCCGCCCCGCCUCCCUCCUAGGUGAAGGAAGAUGAUUUCCCCCCCAUCUUGACCACCCCCCAGUCUUCGCCGCCAAAAACGGACUCCGCCGGCUAUCCUCGGCCCGGUACCAGUUGUUGGAUCCAAGAGAAUUCCGGAACCCAAACGGCUCGCUCAAAGCACUUUAUUGGCAGUGAAACCGCAAGUAACCCGGAGCCCUCGGCGCGACCACGGCUAGAAUCAGAGCCUAAGGCGUGUGAGCUCAGCCAUCCCACGUCUGUCUUCACGCUCAUACGCAAGCCCGACACACCGGGGCUCCCACUUAAUGAAUACUGAAGAGUAGGGCUGUCCCUACCGCUUCUCACUUCCUUGUUUUCAUCUUUUCGUUAUUAUUAAGCGACCUAACACAAUAAACAUAUUACCUUGUUGGUAACCCUUUUGUAAAGUCAUUCUGAAAGUGCUGUUUGACUCCGUUGCUUGGGUAAUAAGCACGCCUGGGUGAUUCUUGCCCCCUACUGGCUGCGCAUCCUACAAGCCUAGUGCUGAAAGCAAACCAAGUAGCUGGAACAGUUGGAGGUUACAGUGUGAACUCUUCCAGAGACAAAGUAUUCGGGGAAAGAAAGGAAAAAGUAGGCACAGAAAGAAUAGGAAACUUCAGUGUUUGUACACAUAGAUAUGUAUUAUAUAUCUAUGUAUACAUUUAUAAAUAUUUUUAAAGUGCUAACUAAUCGCUUUACUAAUUACAUUAUUUCAUUUA
rnacentral:lncRNA from 1 species